rnacentral:rRNA from 1 species
UGCAAGCGUUAAUCGGAAUCACUGGGCGUAAAGGGUGCGUAGGCGGUACGUUAGGUCUGUCGUGAAAUNCCCCGGGCUCAACCUGGGAAUGGCGNUGGAAACCGGUGUACUAGAGUAUGGGAGAGGGUGGUGGAAUUCCAGGUGUAGCGGUGAAAUNCGUAGAGAUCUGGAGGAACAUCAGUGGCGAAGGCGGCCACCUGGCCCAAUACUGACGCUGAGGCACGAAAGCGUGGGGAGCAAACAGGAUUAGAUACCCUGGUAGUCCACGCCCUAAACGAUGAAUACUAGAUGUUUGGUGCCUAGCGUACUGAGUGUCGUAGCUAACGCGAUAAUAU